rnacentral:rRNA from 1 species
UACGGAGGGUGCGAGCGUUGUCCGGAAUCAUUGGGCGUAAAGGGCGCGUAGGUGGCCCGGUCAGUUCGUGGUGAAAGCGCGGGGCUCAACUCCGCGUCGGCCAUGAAUACUGCUGGGCUGGAGCACUGUAGAGGCAGGCGGAAUUCCGGGUGUAGCGGUGGAAUGCGUAGAGAUCCGGAAGAACACCGGUGGCGAAGGCGGCCUGCUGGGCAGUAGCUGACACUGAGGCGCGACAGCGGUGGGGGAGCAAACAGGG